rnacentral:lncRNA from 1 species
AAAGACAUUUAAGUAAGCAAUACAGUUUAUGAUAACCGAGUAAUAAAAUAACAAAAUAAAUAAAUAAAUAAUGCAGGGGGAACUAAAUAAAGCAAAUAAUCGAGGACACAAUUCAAACUAGCAAUUUAAUGCACAUAAUUCAAUAGUAAACAUUUUAAGCAAUACAUGAGAAAAUGAAUAGUAAACUAGGACAAUUGUACACUGACCAGUUCCAACUCCACUAAUGACCUGUAAUUAUUAUUAAGGUUUUUAUAAUUUUCAUAAAAUACAGAAU